rnacentral:rRNA from 1 species
AGUGAACGCUAGCGAUAUGCUUAAACACAUGGCGAGUUUGUAGACGUUUAAAAAAACGUGUGCGUACAGGUGAGGAAGCUGUGGGUACUUACUUAGGAAGUUCGGGACAAAAAUAUUUUUAUUUUAAUAAAAACACAAAUCCCGAAAAGAAAGACUAUAAUAGUUGCUUUCUGCGAGAGGCUCAUGGAGGAUUAGGUAGUUGGGUUUUAAUAAUAUUUUAUUAUUAAAUGUAAGGGGUAAUGGCCUACCAAGCCGAUGAUCCUUGGCCGUGUUUGAGAGAAUGGUCGGUCACACCGGGACUGAGAUAAAGCCCGGACUUUUUUCAAAGGCUGCAGUUGGGGAAUAUUGGACAAUACACAAGAAGUGUGAUCCAGCAAUAUCGUGUGAGUGAAGAAGGUCAACUGGCCGUUAAAGCUCUUUCGAACAAUGACAAUUAUGUUAUUAGUUGUAAAAGAAGUUCCUGGCUAACUUCGUGCCAGCAGCCGCCGUAAUAC